AUGAUAGCUUGCUAUCAGGCGUCGAGCGGCGGACGGGUGAGUAAUACUUAGGAAUCUACCUAGUAGUGGGGGAUAGCACGGGGAAACUCGUAUUAAUACCGCAUACGACCUACGGGAGAAAGGGGGCAGUUUACUGCUCUCGCUAUUAGAUGAGCCUAAGUCGGAUUAGCUAGAUGGUGGGGUAAAGGCCUACCAUGGCGACGAUCUGUAGCUGGUCUGAGAGGAUGAUCAGCCACACCGGGACUGAGACACGGCCCGGACUCCUACGGGAGGCAGCAGUGGGGAAUAUUGGACAAUGGGGGAAACCCUGAUCCAGCCAUGCCGCGUGUGUGAAGAAGGCCUUUUGGUUGUAAAGCACUUUAAGCAGUGAAGAAGACUCCGUGGUUAAUACCCACGGACGAUGACAUUAGCUGCAGAAUAAGCACCGGCUAACUCUGUGCCAGCAGCCGCGGUAAUACAGAGGGUGCAAGCGUUAAUCGGAAUUACUGGGCGUAAAGGGAGCGUAGGUGGCUCGAUAAGUCAGAUGUGAAAUCCCCGGGCUCAACCUGGGAACUGCAUCUGAUACUGUUGAGCUAGAGUAUGUGAGAGGAAGGUAGAAUUCCAGGUGUAGCGGUGAAAUGCGUAGAGAUCUGGAGGAAUACCGAUGGCGAAGGCAGCCUUCUGGCAUAAUACUGACACUGAGGCUCGAAAGCGUGGGUAGCAAACAGGAUUAGAUACCCUGGUAGUCCACGCCGUAAACGAUGUCUACUAGUCGUUGGGUCCCUUGAGGACUUAGUGACGCAGCUAACGCAAUAAGUAGA
rnacentral:rRNA from 1 species